UACAAGAACGAUCGACGAAUACUACCAAAUAAGAUAAAUAUGAUUUGUUUAUUGUUAGAUAUAAUUAAGUAAUGAGUUGCAUGCUUCAUUCUUUGUUAUUAUAAAUGUGUCCGCUUCAUCCUUUCAAGAGGAGAAGGAUCGGACAAAAGAAGGUGGUGACGACGGCCCGGGUGGAUAGGAUGGGAUUCUGACCUCCACACUUGGACGGAGUGGUGACUUUGAGAGGUAGAGAGAUUUUAAGCCUAAGCAGAGAUCUUUCUUCAAAUUCUUGGUCUCGACGCUCAAUAGCCGUAGUUGACUAUAGACCUUCACGAGUUACUUGUCAUCACCCGGAAAUCACAAAUCUUUACCAAGUGCCAGAGAUUGGUUUGGAACUUUCUUGAAGCAUCAAGCCUGGCAUCCCAAAGCCAGCGUAGUCCAGGCGAACUCAAUAAUCCGAUUUUCAAAACUGUGUAAAAUGACUAUAAUGUCUUCUUCAAUUUAUCUUUCAUUUAUUUUUGACAUUUCUAACUAUUAUUAACUACAAAUUGCCCGGUCCCCGCGGAAGUUGGGGGGGGGGGGGGGGGGGGGAUAUUUUUCAUUAUGUAAAGUAUCGGUAGAAGGAUUGUUAUGUAAUUAAAUAAGUGUCGGUAGAAUAAUUAUUAAGUGUAGGUUGAUGUAACAUAAAGUGUAUAACCCUCAAUAGUCUAGGAGGCUAUAAUGUAAAUAUAUAUGUGUCAUAUUGCAAUCAAACGAUUGCAACAGUAAUUGUAACCGGCUCUCUUGAGCCUAUAAAUAGGGCCUUUGCCCAAAUGAAAUAAACAAGCUAAGUUUGAGUGUUUAAGACUUGAGUUGAUCUCAAUUGUCUUCUCUGUUGAAAUAGUUGUUCUAUUUUUGAAUAGCAGAGUUCUAUCCAAACUAUCCAUAUAAUCAUCUAAUCAUUCAACACAAUCCAUCAUCAAUAUAAUCCAACGCAUCAUUCAGGAGAUUUGGAGAGCGGAAAGGAUUAGGGAAGGAGAAAUUGUGGUUGGAGUUCGACAAAAUUAGGUUUUGUGGAUGCAAAGUUUGGAUAUAGAAGGUUUCCUAAACCAAAACCAGAAGAAUUCUGUUAAUUGAUUCUUUUGUUUCCAUUAAUUUUGUUUAGAGAAAAGGAUAGCAAUACAUGAAGGUUAGUAUGUUU